GCGGCCUUGGCGCAUGCGCGGCGGGCGGGAGCAAGAUGGCGGCGAGCGGGGAGAGUGUUUUCGCUCGGCGGCGGCGAGUGAGGGCCGAGGCCGCCUGGAGUGGAGCAUGGGGGGCUCCGCUGCCCCAAAGCCAUGGGCUUCCCUGCUGCAGCAUGUGUCGAUGGGUCCUCCGUUGCCUCUGACGUCUCCCCAGGCACUCGUACGCUGCACAAGGGUCUGGAUGUCUCCAGCAGCGGCGCAGCAGCCGGACGCGUCCUCUCGUCUGGGACGCGGGGUCCUUCACCGCUCUUCUGGGAUACGGGGCCCUUGAUUAAUUGCCGUGGCAGAAGUUGAAGAGACCAAGAAAUGUAAGCACCGAAGGGGGACAUCUUGAAGACAGGUGGCUAGACCUAGUGAUCCAGUUGUUCGUUUUGGUCAUCGCCUGUGAGGCCAGCAUCCAAGCAUAAGAGGAAGCUAGGAGCUGUCUUGAAAAGAGAUGGGACCAAUGAUAGGAAAUGCUGACGAAGAGAAAAGCUGGACAAGCAGUUUUUUGAGAUUAAUACCUAAGGGACGGGAUGAAACAAGGAAGCCAAAAUGCAGCGGACCCUCGAUAUCACUGGAAACGGCUACGGCAGGAGGUGUUCUGGCACAGGCAUUCAGAACCUCGGGGAACGACUGUAUGCUGCCAUGAAGAACUACAGGCUACCACCGCCCUCGGACCUUCGUAAGUUAUCAUGUAUCAAGAGCGACCAGGAGAAUCCAAACGGCAGCGGAAAGGUUCUCUGCCUGGUCUUGACGAGGAGCCUUCGGCCAUAGGAAGGUUGGCCGCGUCCUUAUCAGACUUGUUACUGUCCUGAGGGCCGGCAACUCGAAGAGGAGCAGCUCAGCCUGUUUUGUUGGUUUCGGUGAUACUGUUUUGAGGAAGCACGGCCCAUCUGUCAGCUAACAAAUAAAGAAGACGGAACAGCCUAUCCACAUAGGAGAGAGCUGACAUAGGAGAACUGAUAUACGGCUUACCUCCAACAAUCUGUAUCACUGCGGUGUAUUGUGUUUCACAGUCAGCGAUAUAUUCAACGAGAACAUGAGAACUCCUGCUCUGCAGCGGGCUCCGUAGUCGAUGACCACGGGAUCCAUGCUCUGGGCUGGUCACUUUAGGCCUUUGUGCAGAGUAUUCUUUCUAGUCACAUGCCCUGUGCGAUCCUCUCCUUCCGCUGUUUUCCCAAGGGAUUGGAAAUGCUUCUGGUCAUCGAUGUCCUUCAGUUGUUUCUUCAGAGGGGGGGGUUGCUGCAGGAAUUGCUGGGGAGGCCCUGACCGCGGCAUGUGGAAAAGACACCUUUGACUACAUCCAGCCGAAGAAAUGUAAGCCGAAGGAUUGGAGUAAAUAACUGCUUGUCUAGGUCUGUUACCUAGUGACACAUUGUCAGAGUUUUUUUUAUGAGCAUUCAUACUUGCUCAAGUGCCUAUUCAUUCCAUGAAUAUUACUGCAAGAGUGCGUACGUUACUGAUCCUUUAAAGCGAGUCCGUGGCACUGGUGGGGUAGCGUGUGUUCUGAAGACUAAGUCCAAGAGCAACUCAUUUUGAUGCUGUUCUCUUAUAUGAAAGCACUUGGAGCAGAUGAAAAUAUUUAUCGUCCUAUUUUGUUUAUUGAAGGGACCGUGAGACUCGGAAAAACCUGCAGCAAAGGAGACACGGUAGUCAGCUUCCUUGGAGAAGGUAUCUUGUCCUGUACUUUAGGGCUUCCUGUACAUUUUGACAGACAGUAGUGAAUGACUGGUUUCCUUUGAACCCCUGGGCAGCAGAAGGUUCUGACUGGAAGGCAAAAUGUUUCUUGUGGUGGGUUUGAAGAAGCUGGCUACCAAUCAAAAGAAAUGACCAGCUACCAAUCAAAAGUAAUGACCAAUCUGUGGAGUCACUGGAAGUUUUUAAAAGACAGUCGUCACCUUUUAUGGAAGGCGAUGCACUUUCGUUACUAAUCCCUGUAGCAGUUGAACCAGGUAAGUGGUAUGUAGGAGGUCAAGCCCAUUAGUCUUUUUCACACAGUAAUAGCCUUUAGGCUGUGAUCGCUCUUAUAAAAGUCCAGAUAUUUUAGAAACUGAACAAGUCUUUUUAGCUUGUUUCCUGUAGUACCGCAAAAGGUGAUCAGAAUACUAAUGUUUUCAUGCUUUAAUGUGGUAGACAUAUGCUGUGCAAACGUCUCUUACUGUUUAAUAAUAAAAACUGAGCGGUCCGUCGAGAC